rnacentral:rRNA from 1 species
AUACGUAGGGUGCGAGCGUUGUCCGGAAUUACUGGGCGUAAAGAGCUCGUAGGUGGUUUGUCGCGUCGUCUGUGAAAUUCCGGGGCUUAACUCCGGGCGUGCAGGCGAUACGGGCAUAACUUGAGUACUGUAGGGGAGACUGGAAUUCCUGGUGUAGCGGUGAAAUGCGCAGAUAUCAGGAGGAACACCGGUGGCGAAGGCGGGUCUCUGGGCGGUAACUGACGCUGAGGAGCGAAAGCAUGGGUAGCGAACAGGAUUAGGUACCCUGGUAGGCCAUGCCGUAAACGGUGGGCGCUAGGUGUAGGGGUCUUCCACGACUUCUGUGCCGUAGCUAACGCAUUAAGCGCCCCGCCUGGGGAGUACGGCCGCAAGGCUAAAACUCAAAGGAAUUGACGGGG